ACACUCAUGUUUCUCUUCAUAUCGAAUAAAUCUUUCGCCUAUUACUAAAGAUUUCUGUGGAGAGGAACACCAUGAGUAUUUACAAUUUUUUUUGAUGUCCUGCUUCAAUGUAGGAUU